AGAGACAACGUAGGAGAAGAAGAAUGAAUAGGGAAGAGAAAGAAAUCGAAGGUGGUGUACGGCUAAGGAGGAAGGAAGAGUUUUAUUUUAAACCGGUUGGAGUUUUUGAAGCUUGUUUUUGGGUCGAGCAGAAAUUGGAACGGAGGACGAUCAAGUUUGAAGGAUUAGCUGUACCUGAGUAUCUGAGUUUCUGAGUUUCAAGAAGAAUUUAGUUCAGCUUCUGCCACCCCGAGUUGUUUAAGAGUUGCAUAUCUCUUUGUAUGUAGUUUAGUUGGUUUGUAAGAAAUUUUAUCUGCAUUCUAUUGAUAGGAAAAGAAUGUAUAGAAUGGAUGUAAGAAUGGUUGUUUGGUUAAGAUUAAUAUUUUAUUGUGCAUC